GGUCAGUGUUGGGUACAGACCGGAGAGAACAGGUCGUCUUCGCAGCUCCAGAAAAAACCUUUCGGGAAUUCCCACGUGUUCACACGCACGCUCCUCUUUCCUCCCGUUACCGUGGAAACGCGCCGACGAAUGAGUCAUCCCCUCCCUUCUCUUUCGUCCCCGUCAAGGUCAACGCCCCUCAGGUUUCGUUUGGGAUCAUUCAGGAUUCAGGAUUUCAGUCUGGUGAGCAGUCUGAAAUAUUCCACCGACUCUACACGUCAUAAUGUGACAGCUUGAAAGGAGUGGUCGGUGUUUGCAGGGUACACAGGUAUUCCUAUCUUGUGUAUGUUUUGACGUGUGUGUGUGUGUGUGUGUGUGUGCGCGUGUUUGAGCAGCUUACUGGACCAUUUGAUUAAGGAGAUAAGGCUUUAAGGCAUGCACCAGGAUAGACAGAGCUGAUGCAAGAGCCCCUAUUAAUGUAUGUGAUGUAUUAAUGUAGCAGCGAGUGACCCCAUUGCCUCAAUCGUGUUUACGUACGGCAGCAUAUUGGAUUUAAAUCGACGCAAAUGCUCUCGUUUACAUCCACAUCCACAUCUUGAGCAGCGGAAUCGUAGCCACUUUUGCUCCCGUUUGGAAUAUCUCGACAACACAAAACCCUGGACGAAAUUUGGGCACAGGCAUUCGCGGCGCGCGCACGCCGAACCCCAGCGUCUCGGGCGAAUCCUCUGACCUUUUCUCCAGCGCCUCAGUGAAGUUGGCGUUUGGGUUUCCUUGCUGAAUUACCGGGUGGAUUUGUUCCACACAUUCGGGUCGACAUGAGGACGAUGACUUGUCGUAACGUUUUUGCGGACGCCCCGUCUUUUCGUCCACAGCGCCGAUCAAAUAUUGAAUCUGUCCAGUCUGUCAACUGGAAGAGACAUCAUGAACUUUAAUAAAUGAGUAGUCAAAUAAUAUUUAAUAACUGUAAUACUGUAUGUGCUGAAAUGUAGAACUAACAGAUCAGUCAGCAGGCAUGACGCCUGGACUGCCACAGCCCAACGCAGUGUUGUGUAUCUUUGGGGAGUGCUUAUGAUCAUCCCAUUAUGUUUGGUAGCAUCAUUACGCGGGCUGUUCACGCUGCUCACACACACCAUAGAAUGCACAUUUUUUUCUUAAAAACCAAAUGAAGGCACAUGUAGUUAAGAUGUGACGCUUAAGAUCACCUUAACUGGAGUGAUGAUGUUGCAGCUAAAAAAAGAUUUAAUAGACGGACUCCUUUCUUCAGGUCCUCGACUCCUGCUGUCACUUUCCGCCUUUCCAUCACACGGAGGCUGACGUAAUCAUCCGUAACACACACACACACACACACACACACACACACACACACACACACACACAUACGUCCGCGCAGACUUCGAGGCAGGUGACAGAUCGGGCGCAGUGAAAGGCACGGAGAUUCUCCCGAUAAGGCUGUCAAUGAGUAACGCCGCCGUUUCAGGUUGUUUGCCGCUCAGUGGCUGGAAAAUUGGAACGAUAACACGCAAACACGCGGACGGUAAUGGCCGCGGUGCCAGACAUGCGCGCGCACGGCACAUGGGUCAGGCGCAGGACCUGUGACCAAAAACACCAGAAGGAGACAAUUAAAAUGCAUCUGAAUGUAUCUGGCACAAGGCCGAGCUUACUUUCACAGAGAUGCAGUGAACAAGGCUCAACGUCACUUAGUGUGCCAGAGGAGUCCAAUUUGGUGGUUAUUUAUCGCUGCUUUGGCACGUUAAGUGACGUCGAGCCUGUUCCGCGACAAAGCGUUUCAGAGCGUCCCGAAAGAAUAAGGUGCCACAUGGUCGUCUGCGACAGAAUAAACCUUUUGGGUUUUUGAAAAAACAUGAGAAUAACAGGACGUAACUGAAUGAAUAUAAGGCUUCCCCUGGCUCCCCUGCCGUCACCUCUGAGGCUCACCAACCACAUGAGAUCUUGUUUGUUUUCCCCUUGAAGUCUUGUACUUCAAGAUGACGAGGCCGCCGGUGAAGACUCCAAGAAGGUCAUUUGCUCCCCAUCAAAUCGCAAAAUUAAACAAAUGAUAUGUCAAAAUGUUAGCUUUGAGCUUGUCGGGAGCUGGUAUAGAUGGAUUCUGUUACCUUUGUCCACGGCCAGACUAUAUUUUUAAUUUACCCCCGUUUUCGGUCUUCACGCUUUACUGAGCUAAGCCAUAUAUUUAACUGGACACCCGCAUCGAUCCGUCUUGUGCGGCUCUUCCGUCUCAGGACCCUUGCAGCCUCAUUUUGAAGCCGUGACGCUUUCAUGGGCAAGAAUUAUGGUUCCCACCCGAUGUCUAGCAGAGAGGAAAAAGCGCUGCGUGGUGUUUUCCGCCGCUCAAGAUCGAAACAGCCCAUCAAAAUAACUCGACAUAAAGUGUCUCCUGUCGCUGCCACUGUAGGUGUCACCGGUGCCUGAGACAUUAACGUGAUUGAACUGAUUCGAUGAGUUCCUUGAAUGCGGAAUGCAGAGGUCUUCUCUGAACUCCCCUCAUCUUCAAAGCAAAUACCGGAUGAAAAUGAAUAUAAUGAUGCUAAACUGUUGUUCCCGCAGACGCCUAAUACACCUGACAUUCGACGCUUUUUCUAGUCAUGUGUUCAUGGUCGCCGUGUGAUGACGUCUGAGAUUUCGGUCAGACGCGACGGAACCCAAAUCGCCAGAGGGAUAAAAGACGAGCGGUUACUGCCGGUCAAAAAGAAAGAGGAAAAAAUUUGUUCCAAUUUUGUCCCAGCGUCGGAUUAUUUCAGAAGAUGAUUGAUAUGGUUUUAAACUGUGAGUACAGAGCUCGGAUGCGGGCCAGAGUCGUAAAUGGAUCAUGGUUCAUCUCACACAGGACUGGUUCAUUUGGGUUUUAUCACCGGAGGCCCCCCACCCCCCCGCCCCG